AGUGGGAUAGCUGGAUUGAAUGGUGGUUCCAUUCCACGGUUUCUGAGGAAUCUCCAUACUGCUUUCCAGAGUGGCUCUACCCAUUUUCACUCCCACCAGAAAU
rnacentral:pre_miRNA from 1 species